CGGACGGGUGAGUAACGCGUGGGUAACCUGCCCUGUACAGGGGGAGUAACAGUCAGAAAUGACUGCUAAUACCGCAUAAGACCACAGCACCGCAUGGUGCAGGGGUAAAAACUACCGGUGGUACAGGAUGGACCCGCGUCUGAUUAGCUGGUUGGUGAGGUAACGGCUCACCAAGGCGACGAUCAGUAGCCGGCUUGAGAGAGUGAACGGCCACAUUGGGACUGAGACACGGCCCAAACUCCUACGGGAGGCAGCAUG
rnacentral:rRNA from 1 species